AAGCAUGAAGCAAUUUUGCGUUUAGUUUCGACCUAAAAAUUUGAUUAUUAAUCCUUGCUUA
rnacentral:tRNA from 1 species